AUGCCGGUGGUGGUCGGCUCGGAGUUCGUCGUCCAUCCACCUCUUCACGCCAGACGGACGGAACCACCCGUAGCCCGAUCGAUCGUAGCCGGUCGCUGCAAUUCAGCGCUCACUGACAUGACAUUUAGCUUCUUCUUCUUCAAGUGCGUGCGUGCGUGCGUUCGCCGGAGAGCCGGGGCGGCCGCCGGGGCUGUGUUGUCCUCCAUGCUCACGAUGUGUACUUACAGCGUUCAAAACUCGCGAGAUCACGGCCCGGCCAGGCGCCAUGCCGAGGUGGCGAUCAGCGGGCGCGUGUGCCACCCCAGCGUCAGGCAGCCUUCCUUCUCCUCCACCUUGUAG
rnacentral:rRNA from 1 species